rnacentral:rRNA from 1 species
UACGUAGGGUGCAAGCGUUGUCCGGAUUUAUUGGGCGUAAAGGGCUCGUAGGCGGCCAACUAAGUCAGACGUGAAAUCCCCAGGCUCAACCUGGGAACUGCGUCUGAUACUGGAUGGCUUGAAUCCGGGAGAGGGAUGCAGAAUUCCAGGUGUAGCGGUGAAAUGCGUAGAUAUCUGGAGGAAUACCGGUGGCGAAGGCGGCAUCCUGGACCGGCAUUGACGCUGAGGAGCGAAAGCCAGGGGAGCAAACGGG